rnacentral:rRNA from 1 species
GAUGAACGCUAGCUACAGGCUUAACACAUGCAAGUCGAGGGGAAACGGCAUUAAGUGCUUGCACUUUUUGGACGUCGACCGGCGCACGGGUGAGUAACGCGUAUCCAACCUUCCCAUGACUAAGGGAUAACCUGCCGAAAGGCAGACUAAUACCUUAUGGUCUUCACUGACGGCAUCAGAUGUGAAGUAAAGAUUUAUCGGUUAUGGAUGGGGAUGCGUCUGAUUAGCUUGUUGGCGGGGUAACGGCCCACCAAGGCAACGAUCAGUAGGGGUUCUGAGAGGAAGGUCCCCCACAUUGGAACUGAGACACGGUCCAAACUCCUACGGGAGGCAGCAGUGAGGAAUAUUGAUCAAUGGGCGAGAGCCUGAACCAGCCAAGUAGCGUGCAGGAUGAUGGCCCUAUGGGUUGUAAACUGCUUUUGUAUGGGGAUAAAGUCAAUCACGUGUGAUUGUUUGCAGGUACCAUACGAAUAAGGACCGGCUAAUUCCGUG